rnacentral:rRNA from 1 species
GAUGAACGCUGGCGGCGUGCUUAACGCAUGCAAGUCGAACGAAGCACUCUACUUGAUUUCCUUCGGGAAUGACUGUUUUGUGACUGAGUGGCGGACGGGUGAGUAACGAGUGGGUAACCUGCCUUUCAGUGGGGGACAACAGUUGGAAACGACUGCUAAUACCGCAUAAUGUUAUUUGGGGGCAUCCUCGGAUAACCAAAGAUUUAUUGCUGAAAGAUGGUCUCGCGUCUGAUUAGCUAGAUGGCGGGGUAACGGCCCACCAUGGCGACGAUCAGUAGCCGGUCUGGGAGGACGAGCGGCCACAUUGGGACUGAGAUACGGCCCAG